rnacentral:rRNA from 1 species
ACUCCUACGGGAGGCAGCAGUGGGGAAUAUUGCACAAUGGGGGAAACCCUGAUGCAGCCAUGCCGCGUGUGUGAAGAAGGCCUUCGGGUUGUAAAGCACUUUCAGUAGGGAGGAAGGUAGUGUAGUUAACACCUGCAUUAUUUGUACGUUACCUACAGAAGAAGCACCGGCUAACUCCGUGCCAGCAGCCGCGGUAAGUACGGAGGGUGCGAGCGUUAAUCGGAAUUACUGGGCGUAAAGCGCAUGCAGGCGGCCUGUUAAGUCAGAUGUGAAAGCCCGGGGUCGUUAACCUCGGAAUUGCAUUUGAAACUGGCAGGCUAGAGUCUUGUAGAGGGGUUAGAAUUUCAGGUGUAGCGGUGAAAUGCGUAGAGAUCUGAAGG